GCAGUCGACGAUGAUGCCCAGCUUGCUGGGUGGAUUAGUGGCGAACGGGUGAGUAACACGUGAGUAACCUGCCCCUGACUCUGGGAUAAGCGUUGGAAACGACGUCUAAUACUGGAUACGACUGCCGGCCGCAUGGUCUGGUGGUGGAAAGAUUUUUUGGUUGGGGAUGGACUCGCGGCCUAUCAGCUUGUUGGUGAGGUAAUGGCUCACCAAGGCGACGACGGGUAGCCGGCCUGAGAGGGUGACCGGCCACACUGGGACUGAGACACGGCCCAGACUCCUACGGGAGGCAGCAGUGGGGAAUAUUGCACAAUGGGCGAAAGCCUGAUGCAGCAACGCCGCGUGAGGGAUGACGGCCUUCGGGUUGUAAACCUCUUUUAGUAGGGAAGAAGCGAAAGUGACGGUACCUGCAGAAAAAGCACCGGCUAACUACGUGCCAGCAGCCGCGGUAAUACGUAGGGUGCAAGCGUUGUCCGGAAUUAUUGGGCGUAAAGAGCUCGUAGGCGGUUUGUCGCGUCUGCUGUGAAAUCCCGAGGCUCAACCUCGGGCUUGCAGUGGGUACGGGCAGACUAGAGUGCGGUAGGGGAGAUUGGAAUUCCUGGUGUAGCGGUGGAAUGCGCAGAUAUCAGGAGGAACACCGAUGGCGAAGGCAGAUCUCUGGGCCGUAACUGACGCUGAGGAGCGAAAGCGUGGGGAGCGAACAGGAUUAGAUACCCUGGUAGUCCACGCCGUAAACGUUGGGCGCUAGAUGUAGGGACCUUUCCACGGUUUCUGUGUCGUAGCUAACGCAUUAAG
rnacentral:rRNA from 1 species